rnacentral:tRNA from 1 species
UCUCAGAUAGCUCAGUUGGUAAAGAAUCCACCUGCAAUGUAGAAGACCCCGGUUCGAUUCCUGGGUUGGGAA